ensembl:lncRNA
GAAAACCAAGAGAACCAAAAGGGAGUGGAUUGUUUGCAGACAGUUUUUAUAUGGUCUUCUUCCACUCUCCUCAUUACUUCCUGCACUUCCUGCUUAAGCGCGUUGGCUCCCCCGCUGUAUUGGUCCCGGCAUUACACCCUCAUCAGUCCAUCCUCUUACAUUUGUGUGAGAGGUGCAUUUGUGUAAAGGGUGAGUUUGUGUGAGAGGUGCGUUUGUGUGAGAAGUGCGUUUGUGCGAGGGGUGAGUUUGUGUGAGAGGUGCGUUUGUGCGAGGGGUGAGUUUGUGUGAGAGGUGCGUUUGUGUGAGGCAUGAGUUAGUGUGAGGGGUGAGUUUGUGUGAGAGGUGCGUUUGUGUGAGGCAUGAGUUAGUGUGAGGGGUGAGUUUGUGUAAGAGGUGCGUUUGUGUGAGAGGUGAGUUUGUGUGAGAGGUGCGUUUGUGUGAGGGGUGAGUUUGUGUGAGAGGUGUGUUUGUGUGAGGGGUGAGUUUGUGUGAGAGGUGCGUUUGUGUGAGAGGUGCGUUUGUGCGAGGGGUGAGUUUGUGUGAGAGGCAGGGGCGGCUUGUCCAUAAGGGAGAUUGGGGCGACGCACUGCCUAGGGGAAAAGAAAAAAAAGAAAAAUAAAUAAAUAAAUAAAUGAUGUAUGAACGCAAUAUCCUUGUAAGUCGCGUAAAUGACAUGUACAUUUUUAAAUGUAAUAAUUUUUUUUCUGUCGGAUUCUACCACUAGACCGUCUGAUCUGCCUCUGUAUGUCAUUGUCGAAUCAGGUAACAGUCGUUCAGUCAACCUAAAGUCGUGCUUCAAAUGGCCCCGCCCCUUCUGGGGCGAUUUGGGGCGAAAUGAAAAUCGCCCCAGACCUCUACCAUUGACUCCCAUGUUAAAUCCAUUUUUUUUCACAAAACAGAGCUCUCAAUGCAUUCUCUAUGGCUUCCGGGAGGGCUCGCCCCUCCAUGUCGUGUCAUAAGUAGUGGACGUAAAAGCCUAUACGAACGUCAUACAGCUUCGACGGAGGCAUAUUCUG